CCUACGGGUGGCAGCAGUGGGGAAUAUUGCACAAUGGGGGAAACCCUGAUGCAGCGACGCCGCGUGAGUGAAGAAGUACUUCGUUAUGUUAAGCUCUAUCAGCAGGGAAGAAAAUGACGGUACCUGAGUAAGAAGCCACGGCUAACUACGUGCCAGCAGCCGCGGUAAUGCGGCGGGGGCCAGCGUUAUCCGGAUUUACUGGGUGUAAAGGGAGCGUAGACGGCUUGGAAAGUAUGGAGUGAAAGGCUGGGGCUCAACCCCCGGACUGCGCUGGAAACUGUAAGUCUGGAGUGCAGGAGAGGUAAGUGGAAUUCCUGGUGUAGCGGUGAAAUGCGUAGAUAUUAGGAGGAACACCAGUUGCGAAGGCGGCUUACUGGACUGUAACUGACGUUGAGGCUCGAAAGCGUGGGGAACAAACAGGAUUAGAUACCCUGGUAGUC
rnacentral:rRNA from 1 species